UCCGCACACAUUCAGACACCACCUGUCCACGUAUGUAUUUCAUUUUCCCUCACAGUACUACAAAAUUUGUACACGCUGUAUAUAAACAUGGUCCAUUUGAACGUCCAUCAUGUCUCAAUUCAUUCACCCACACUCAUUUGGGUCUGUCCACCAAUGCACAUUUCGACAGGCAUCCGUCUCCGUUCACUUUGCUCAAGUAAACAUGGCCUGUCCAUUGAGUCACCUACGUCAUGGAACCGCCCAUUUAGACAGAUCAAGCGUGAGCGAGCACAUGCUCCCUGGAAAGGAUUCUAGGAGAGCACGCCGGUUCUACUACGCAGCCGAACAGCGGAGAGAUCAUCUUCAACUGGGAGUGAUGAAUUAACAUCUUCAAGCACACACGCUUGGCCUCGCACUUGGACUCGUGAUCAAAUGUGAGAGGAUCUUCUUUUCCUUUCAGCAAAGUGACGUUACAAGACAGCAAAAGUGCAAGAAGAGGUAUGAAAGAGCACUUGAAAACUUGGGAUUGCAUAUACCGGCCUUUUUUCAAGGUACCGCGUACUUUUGAAGGGUGCCGAUACCAGUCACUGAUACGUAAAG